GGAUACGACCAUACUCUGGUGAAAGCACCCCAUCCCGCCUGAUUUGGGAAGUUAAGCACCAGCAGGCUGACUAGUACUGCGGUGAGUGAUCACGUGGGAACCCCAGGUGUUGUAUUCU
rnacentral:rRNA from 12 species